CGAAGGGGACAGACACACCGGGAACUUGGAUUUGUCGCUAAUUCUCUAACUUUUAAACAGUGUUACCAGUUCACCUAUAAAAUUGGUAACAGUUCCCGUCCGCCGCGCGUGUUUGUUGUUUGUCCCUCGCUUGGAAGUCUUUAGACGUGUUGCUUCAAGUUCGGUUGUCGAAGACUUAGUUAACCAGAGGUUUAAAGAAACCGGUGUACUUUAGUUGUGCAUGGCCGAUUUGGAUAAGAAAAACUGCGGCCCCAUGGAUGAUGCUGAUGCAAGGGGGGUCCUAUUGUAAAUCUUUCCCAGGCUUGACUGUGUUCCUGGAUUUCGAGAUGGGUUUGUGGCUGGUAGCAACAGUCUGCAGGUGAAGCCAUUCUCGUUCGGACUUGUCAUCAUCAAGUUCGAGGCCGACCUCUCUUGCCAUCGCCUUCUGCAAAAAAAAAAAAAAAAAAAAAAAGCACUGUGAAGAACGAAGAAACUCGACCUGAAUUUCGGGACGGCUCGUAGCGCC